UGGACAUAGAUAAACUCUAAUACUGUUACAUAACCGGUGUCCUGAGGGCACUCAUGGGAAGAACCCCUUUUUUAAUUAUUGUUGGAAUGUUAUAACUUUUCAUUCAAGUUGAGAGAGGUUACCUACAGUGUGGAUCACUCUUAUACAUGGAAUGAAAAUAGUAACGUUAACAUCCUUAUUUAGAAAUGUGGUAUAGCAAGUGGGUGUAGGUUGGUUUUUUUCAGAUUGCUUAAUGAGAAGAAAAUAGAUUACACGGAUUGCAUAUGUGCUGCAAUAUAGAAAAAUAUUAUAUAAUGGAUUAGAAUGAGAAUAACCACAAAGUUUUCUACUAUCAUAUAAUUAUAAUAAAAUAUUUUCAAUUUUAUAAUACUAUGUUAACUGCUUCAAUACUAUUAAAAAUAUUCAAAUCCUAAAAUUUGAGGCAUAGUAAUGAUAAAAAUAAGAACAUUAUUUGAUAUUUGUGUGCUUGAGAUUGUUUGAUUCUCUACUCAUGGUUGUUUGAAUUUCAGAAUGCUAAUUUAACAUUCCAAAUCACUAACAAUCCAUAAUCUGGAUAGUGCGAUCCAGAACAAAAAUCGCUAAGGGGUGCAACUUUUUUCUGGCAACAUUGAUCAAUUGUACUGUCUUUGAGAAGUACCAGGUUCUGGUAAUUGUACACCUGAAAGGCCUGUAAGGAUGCUUGCAUUAGUAUCUAGAUUGACAUUUUUCUGUCAACUUGGACAUAGAUGUCCGCCAUUAUCAUUGCUAUGGAAAUUGUGUUUGACAAAAUAAAUUGAAUGGAAGUCUUUCUCUUUUUUGACAUCUUCCUUUUCUAUCCUCUCAGGACUGCAGAGACUGGAUCUGCUGGUGUUUAACAUCUGCUUGAGUUGUACUAUUAUGACUGUGGCCUAGUUGUUGAGGAUUGCUUUUCUUGUUUCUGUGGUACGGAGCCUUUAUUAGUUUCUAUUAUCUGCCGCAGUUUUUCUUGGUGUUUGAUGAUGGGUAUACUAGCACACAGCUUGGAUGGAGAAUGGAGGGUUCUCUGAAGUCAAUUUGUUUUGGUUCUCUCGUCCACCAUUAUCAUUGUGAAUUGUUUUGGAUUGUAGUAAUCUUUUAGCUGCCUCUGUGCAGGGAAAACAAAAAAGCAAGUUAGUUUUUUUGUCUAUUAUUAUGUAAUCUGUUAUACAGUUCAUCGGAAAUGAUCAAACAUUUACUGGGAUUAUCUGUUGAUGAUUGUGUGAAAUGAAUGAAAUUUUUGGAUGUUAUUUGGCA
rnacentral:misc_RNA from 1 species